rnacentral:lncRNA from 1 species
CCACAGAAAGGCAACAUAUUCCUGGUUGACUACAAACUUUUGGAUGGGGUGGAAACAAACACCAUCAAUGGUAAGAAGCAGUUCUUGAUGGCUCCCCUCGUGCUGCUCCACAAAACCCCUGAUAAUCAGCUGAUGCCAAUCGCUAUUCAGGUGGGACUAGCACCAAAUACAGCCAGUGAUGAAGCUGUCAAGUAUAUUUACAUGACAUACACGUACUGAUGAAAUUAUGUAUCUCCACUUCAACAGUAUUUCAAACUAGACAAACAUGUUAAGCACAACAGAUAUGUCACAAAUAUUCAAACAUACCAAAAAACCUUUAUCGAUACAAGCAAUGGAUCAAAUGGACUGAAUGAACCUCAUCCUCUUUCCUUCUCCUGCAGCUGAAGCAGACUCCAGCAGACGACAACCACAUCUUCUUUCCUACUGAUUCUAAGUAUGACUGGUUGAUGGCCAAGAUCUUUGUGAGAAGUGCAGAUUUCAACAUGCAUCAACUCAAUGUUCACCUGCUGCGCACUUACCUGCUGGCUGAAGUGUUCACAGUGUCACUGCUGCGCAAUGUGCCCAUGGUGCAACCUCUGUACAAGGUAAGUGUGAGGGAGAUACUGAACCUACUGUAGUUUUAGUCUAUUCUAACUGCUGAUAUUUGUUUUUUAGCUUUCUGACUUGGUUGACAAAUAAUAACAAAGUUCCUUCUCUCCCUCAGAUCCUCAUACCUCACACUCGCUACACUCUGCAAAUAAACAUCAUGGCUCGACUGCUUCUGAUAUCUAAGACAGGAGUUUUCACAAAGGUAUGAAAAGACCAACAUGCCCAGUAGAACAAUAUCAUCUACAGUAUUCCUUCACUGACUGUUUUCCUCACAAAUGUGACUGAUCCCUAGUAUGCAGCAUCUGGUGGAGAGGGUAUGAUCACAAUCCUGAAGAGAUCCAUGUCCUCGAUGACCUACAGCUCCCUCUGUAUACCAGAUGACAUUGCUGAGCGUGGACUGGAGGAUGUACCAAACCUCUACUACAGGGAUGAUGGACUCCGGCUUUGGGAUAUCAUUAACAGGUUUGUGCAGGGAGUGCUCGGCUACUACUACAAGAAUGAUGCUGAGGUCAAGCAAGACUCUGAACUGCAGAAGUGGAUUUCGGACAUUUUUGUUCAUGGAUUCCUCUCCAAGAAAAACACAGGUGGGCUUUACUGAAAAACAAAUCCUAAUGGUGAAAUAUGUGCUCAUUAAUGUACCAUUUUAUUGUGAAAGUUCAAAUAUGAAUUAA